rnacentral:rRNA from 1 species
GCAUAACGCGAAGAACCUUACCAGGCCUUGACAUGCAGAGAACUUUCCAGAGAUGGAUUGGUGCCUUCGGGAACUCUGACACAGGUGCUGCAUGGCUGUCGUCAGCUCGUGUCGUGAGAUGUUGGGUUAAGUCCCGUAACGAGCGCAACCCUUGUCCUUAGUUACCAGCACGUUAUGGUGGGAACUCAUGGGAUACUGCCGGGGUCAACUCGGAGGAAGGUGGGGAUGACGUCAAAUCAUCAUGCCCCUUAUGUCUUGGGCUUCACGCAUGCUACAAUGGCCGGUACAAUGGGCUGCAAUACCGUGAGGUGGAGCGAAACUCAGAAAGGUUGUCUCAGUUCGGAUUGAAGUCUGCAACUCGACUUCAUGAAGUUGGAAUCGCUAGUAAUCGCGGAUCAGCAUGCCGCGGUGAAUACGUUCUCGGGUCUUGUACACACCGAGUCGGUGGGGGAGGGCAAGGGGCACGACAGGGGGGGGGAUA